rnacentral:rRNA from 1 species
AGUGGCGAACGGGUGAGUAACACGUGACCAACCUGCCUCAUGCAUCGGGAUAACUGCUGGAAACGGCAGCUAAUACCGGAUACUCUUGCAACUUCGCAUGGAGAUGCAAGGAAAGCUUUCGCGGCAUGAGAUGGGGUCGCGGCCCAUUAGGUAGACGGUGAGGUAGUGGCUCACCGUGCCUGCGAUGGGUAGCCGGACUGAGAGGUCGAUCGGCCACAUUGGGACUGAGAUACGGCCCAGACUCCUACGGGAGGCAGCAGUGGGGAAUAUUGCGCAAUGGGGGAAACCCUGACGCAGCAACGCCGCGUGCGGGAUGAAGGCUUUCGGGUUGUAAACCGCUUUCAGCAGGGAAGAUAAUGACGGUACCUGCAGAAGAAGCCCCGGCUAACUACGUGCCAGCAGCCGCGGUAAUACGUAGGGGGCAAGCGUUAUCCGGAUUCAUUGGGCGUAAAGCGCGCGCAGGCGGGCCGCUAAGCGGGACCUCUAAUCUUGGGGCUCAACCUCAAGCCGGGUCCCGAACUGGCAGCCUCGAGUGCGGUAGGGGUAAGCGGAAUUCCCGGUGUAGCGGUGGAAUGCGCAGAUAUCGGGAAGAACACCGAUGGCGAAGGCAGCUUACUGGGCCGACACUGACGCUGAGGCGCGAAAGCUAGGGGAGCGAACAGGAUUAAAUACCCUGGUA